AGCUCGUGGUGUGGCCUGCAGCAGGCUGAGGACAGAUGCCCCUCUUGAAGGAAGAACCAUCGCUUGGCUCCAGCUGACGUCACCUUGUGGGCUCGAGAGUCCAGCUGUUACAAGAUCUAACUUGAGACUUUCUGAGAAAAGAUGCGUAAACCCAAGUUUCGAGGUGAAAUCUGACUUAGGAAUAUUGGCAACUGUCUUCAAAAAAAUAACUUUAACAUUGUUUUUUGGACAAAAACAGGAUUGAAUCCAGCCUCCAACUGACCCUAAAGUUGGUUUAAUGAGUCAUGAGGUGUUUGUUGGGGGCCUCAGCUGCACCGAGCAUUGCUUCUGCUUUCUUCACCCAGUAAUGUUAUGGGGUUAGGAUACUGCCGUCCACUGUUCCGAUGCAGAACAAAGCCAGGAAGUUUCAUGAGCCACCCUAACAUCAGAGCAACUCAUGGAAAGAUUUGCCCAUGCUCCUGCCGCUGGCCGCAAAGGGAGGCCAUCUAGUGGGGUGGUGAGCAGUGGUUUCUGGGGAUCCAGGAUGCUAAUCCUGGCUUCACCACUUGCUGCCUCUGUUCCUUGUUUGUAAAAUAAACAAAUACAAUAGGAUCUAGUCAAGGUUUUCAGAAAGAUUGAAUGAAUUAUAAUAAGACGUGGCACUUCACACAGUGGCCAGCGCAUCUUAAAUUCACAACCGGCUUCGAUGAGCAAAGUUAGAAUCCAUUAAAAAAAAAAAAAACCCAAGCAAGUGUUGUUUUCCAUUUCUCAUCUCCAAGCGUCUAAUCCUCCUGAUUUUCCUUUUUCCCCUCUCCAGAAUUUGUUUUGGUUUGGCCUAGGAAAAGCUACUGUAUUUUUGCUUCCAGCUAUAAUUUUUGCUGUGAAGCUGGCCAAGUAUUACCGUCGGAUGGAUUCUGAGGACGUGUAUGAUGAUGGUCUUGAAACUAUACCCAUGGAAAAUAUGAAAAAUGGUAAUAUUGGUUUUCGUAGACAUCGAACCGCUCAGACACAUUGAACAAAAUUUUUAAACAGAGCCAACUGCACAAGUUCUUGAACUGCAGCGUCUGCAAAUAUUGGAAAAGAAACCUUCCCUUGAGGAGUUCACAGAGUUCAGUGGGAUCAUGUGGAAUGUAUACUGAUGGGAAAGCACGCAUGCUUAUGUUUUAUUUUUAGUAGUUUUGUUUUAAUCAUUUGAGCCUCCUUUGAGCAUUUAAAUAUGCAACACAUUCGUUAAUUACCCGUUUAGCCUUGGAAACAAGAUGUGAAUUUUGGCCCAUUUCACUGCAUGGGAACUUAGACUCCUAGUUAAAGGAAGUCCAGCAGACCACAGAUACGUGUGUGCACAAUAAAAGAAUGAUUUCAGAACUAUGACUCUAAUCUUUUUAUUGCAAAAUGGGCCUAAACUACAGGUGUCAAUUAAGUCUCUGUAUUAUUUCCUUAGGGUGGCCGUAACACAUCACACAAACUGGGUGGCUUAAAGCAACAGAAAUGUGUCCUCGCGGUUCCAGAGAUGGGAAGUCUGAAAUGAACGCGGCAGCAGAAAUCAGCCUCCUCCCUGCGAGUCUGUGGGAGAGUCUGUCUGUUCCACGCCUCUCUCCCAGAUUCUGACAAUUGCUGGCAAUCCUUGAUGUUCCUCAGCUUGCAGACAUAUCACUGCAGUCUGUCUCUUUCUUCACAUGGAGUUUUCCUUUGUGUAUCUGCGUCCAAAUUUCCCUCAUCUCCCAAGGACACCAGUCUUUGGAUCAGGGCCCAUCCUAAUCAAGAAUGACCUCAUCUUAAUUUCAUCACAUCUGCAAA